AGCGAACGCUGGCGGCAGGCUUAACACAUGCAAGUCGAACGGGCAUCUUCGGAUGUCAGUGGCAGACGGGUGAGUAACACGUGGGAACGUACCCUUCGGUUCGGAAUAACUCAGGGAAACUUGAGCUAAUACCGGACACGCCCUUUUGGGGAAAGGUUUACUGCCGAAGGAUCGGCCCGCGUCUGAUUAGCUUGUUGGUGGGGUAACGGCCUACCAAGGCGACGAUCAGUAGCUGGUCUGAGAGGAUGAUCAGCCACACUGGGACUGAGACACGGCCCAGACUCCUACGGGAGGCAGCAGUGGGGAAUAUUGGACAAUGGGCGCAAGCCUGAUCCAGCCAUGCCGCGUGAGUGAUGAAGGCCUUAGGGUUGUAAAGCUCUUUUGUCCGGGACGAUAAUGACGGUACCGGAAGAAUAAGCCCCGGCUAACUUCGUG
rnacentral:rRNA from 1 species